GCCGGGGUACCCAAGCUAGGUAAGUCGUAGACCCUAUGAGGGGUCAGCCUCGAGAGCUGAUGUCCUUCGGGACUCGUGGGUUCGAGUCCCACCCCCGGCG
rnacentral:tRNA from 1 species